rnacentral:rRNA from 1 species
GUGUCAGCCGCCGCGGUAAGACAGAGGGUGCAAACGUUGUUCGGAAUUACUGGGCGUAAAGCGCGUGUAGGCUGCUUGGAAAGUCGGAUGUGAAAGCCCUGGGCUCAACCCAGGAAGUGCAUUCGAAACUCCCGAGCUCGAGUACCGGAGAGGAAGGCGGAAUUCUCGGUGUAGAGGUGAAAUUCGUAGAUAUCGAGAGGAACACCUGUGGCGAAGGCGGCCUUCUGGACGGUUACUGACGCUGAGACGCGAAAGCGUGGGGAGCAAACAGGAUUAGAUACCCUGGUAGUCCACGCCGUAAACGAUGGGUGCUAGGUGUCGCGGGAUUUGACCCCUGCGGUGCCGUAGCUAACGCAUUAAGCACCCCGCCUGGGGAGUACGGCCGCAAGGCUAAA